GUCCACGCCCUAAACGAUGUCUACUAGUUGUCGGGGGUAACUCCUUCGGUAACGCAGCUAACGCGUGAAGUAGACCGCCUGGGGAGUACGGUCGCAAGAUUAAAACUCAAAGGAAUUGACGGGGACCCGCACAAGCGGUGGAUGAUGUGGAUUAAUUCGAUGCAACGCGAAAACCUUACCUACCCUUGACAUGCCACUAACGAAGCAGAGAUGCAUUAGGUGCCCGAAAGGGAAAGUGGACACAGGUGCUGCAUUGCUGUCGU
rnacentral:rRNA from 1 species